rnacentral:misc_RNA from 1 species
CACGGCUUUCACUGCUGACUGCAAAAGCUUGAUGAUGCCCUGGUCCAAGGCUUCCCUUCUCACUAAACAGCCCCAUGCCAAAUGCCACGGCACUAGCUGACGCUCGAGGAACCUGGGUAGCCUUUAUAGGAUACACAUCAGGGUGAUAUUCCUCCUUGAACAAAUCUGGAAAUCUUUUCCUAAUCCUGAUUCCAAGAUCAUAUAAUUCAUCUUCUCC